AGUUUGAAAAGAGAGUUAAACAGUACGUGAAAUUGCUGAAAGGGAAACGCUUGAAGUCAGUCGCGUCGUCCGGAACUCAGCCUUGCUUUUGCUGGGUGCACUUUCCGGUUGACGGGUCAGCAUCGAUUUUGACCGUCGGAAAAGGGCUGGAGUAAUGUGGCACCCUCGGGUGUGUUAUAGACUCUGGUCGCAUACGGCGGUUGGGAUCGAGGAACGCAGCGCGCCGUAAGGCAGGGGUUCGCCCACUUUCGCGCUUAGGAUGCUGGCAUAAUGGCUUUAAACGACCCGUCUUGAAACACGGACCAAGGAGUCUAACAUACCUGCGAGUGUUUGGGUGGAAAACCCGAGCGCGUAAUGAAAGUGAAAGUUGAGACCCCUGUCGUGGGGGGCAUCGACGCCCGGACCUGACGUUCUCUGAAGGAUCCGCGGUAGAGCAUGUAUGUUGGGACCCGAAAGAUGGUGAACUAUGCCUGAAUAGGGUGAAGCCAGAGGAAACUCUGGUGGAGGCUCGUAGCGAUUCUGACGUGCAAAUCGAUCGUCAAAUUUGGGUAUAGGGGCGAAAGACUAAUCGAACCAUCUUGUUUCGCGC
rnacentral:rRNA from 1 species